rnacentral:rRNA from 1 species
UACAGAGGGUGCAAACGUUGCUCGGAAUCAUUGGGCGUAAAGCGCACGUAGGCGGCCUGAUAAGUCGGUAGUGAAAGCCCUCGGCUUAACCGAGGAAGUGCUAUCGAAACUGCCAGGCUUGAAUACCGGAGAGGAUCGCGGAAUUCCCGGUGUAGAGGUGAAAUUCGUAGAUAUCAGGUGGAACACCAGUGGCGAAGGCGGCUUUCUGGACGGUAACUGACGCUGAGACGCGAAAGCGUGGGGAGCAAACAGG